rnacentral:rRNA from 1 species
UACGGGGGGGGCAGGCGUUGUUCGGAAAUUACUGGGCGUAAAGGGCUCGUAGGUGGCCAACUAAGUCGAACGUGAAAUCCCCGGGCUCAACCCGGGAACUGCGUCCGAUACUGGCAGGCUUGAAUUCGGGAGAGGGAUGCGGAAUUCCAGGUGUAGCGGUGAAAUGCGUAGAUAUCUGGAGGAACACCGGUGGCGAAGGCGGCAUCCUGGACCGAGAUUGACGCUGAGGCGCGAAAGCCAGGGGAGCAAACGGG